rnacentral:rRNA from 1 species
GACGUAGGGUGCGAGCGUUGUCCGGAAUUAUUGGGCGUAAAGAGCUCGUAGGCGGUCUGUCGCGUCUGCUGUGAAAACUCAGGGCUUAACCCUGAGCUUGCAGUGGGUACGGGCAGACUAGAGUGCGGUAGGGGAGACUGGAAUUCCUGGUGUAGCGGUGAAAUGUGUAGAGAUCGGGAGGAACACCGGUGGCGAAGGCGGGUCUCUGGGCAAUUCCUGACGCUGAGGCGCGAAAGCGUGGGGAGCAAACGGG